CAUAAACUCUGUCAGGAAAACAAGUACAACCUCUUGUGGCUUAAAUUUACGAAUUUUCAUUUGAACUAUUAACGCCGUAAUUAGUUGUAACAGGACACCAACUGUAGGUGUCAGAAUGUCCCUGUCUGUCCAUCCAGAGGCUUCCUUCUCGCCUGCAGUCAGAGACACCAAAACUAAAGAUAUCAAACUUCAUCGUGAGCCCUGAGGAAAGGAUGAGAUGAGCUUACUGGUUUUUUUCUCUACACCUGAGCACCACGGGCACAAACUGGAAUCCAGACUCCAGGUGCGGAGCAUGAUCACGCCACUCAGGCUGACCAGGAGAUCAUACUUGGUUACACCUAGUGUGAGAGAGGAUUCAUCAUUUCAGCCUUGCUGCCCACCUAAUUGACCGUCACAUGUGUACACACCUUCUCUACACCCAGUGUCUCGUCACCAACCAUGAGAACCUCAACCAC